AUUUUUUUUUAACAUCAUCUUAAUAAAACUUCUAAAUCUGUUCUUAUCAUUUUAAUAUCUGAUAUGUCCUUUAUUUAAGGACUUUAUAUUAAAUUGAUUUUUGAAACAGGGGGCUGGAAUAGGAGCUUGCUCUGUCCACCCCAUGCACUGGCCUGGUAUUGCAGUAUCUCCAGGAACGGUGCAUCUCCU